rnacentral:tRNA from 1 species
GGAGGGGUGCCAGAGUGGUCUAAUGGAACAGUCUUGAAAACUGUCGUCUCGGAAACGGGACCGUGAGUUCGAAUCUCACCCCCUCCG